rnacentral:rRNA from 1 species
CCUACGGGUGGCUGCAGUGGGGAAUAUUGGGCAAUGGGCGCAAGCCUGACCCAGCAAUGCCGCGUGGGUGAAGAAGGUCUUCGGAUUGUAAAGCCCUUUCGACGGGGACGAUGAUGACGGUACCCGUAGAAGAAGCCCCGGCUAACUUCGUGCCAGCAGCCGCGGUAAUACGAAGGGGGCUAGCGUUGCUCGGAAUUACUGGGCGUAAAGGGCGCGUAGGCGGUUUGGUCAGUCAGGCGUGAAAUUCCUGGGCUCAACCUGGGGGCUGCGCUUGA